GGCAACACUGUUUACGCGCCAUUUUACCGUAAACAAACACUUCGAGUUUGUUUUGAGGCUUGUGUUGUGGUCUCCGUUUUUCAGCCUUUCCCCUCGUCUCGUGGGGAGGAAUAUGGUGUCCUUCCCCUCUUCCUGCUGGGCCUGUUAGCAACGCGAGGAAGAAAAAGGGACAAUGAAGGCCAUUUUGAAGUACAUUGAGGUGGAGAACUUCAAGUCCUACCGAGGCUUCUAUCACAUCGGUCCGCUAAAGCCUUUUACGGCGGUCAUCGGCCCCAAUGGCUCCGGCAAAUCCAACUUCAUGGAUGCCAUCUCUUUCGUCAUGGGAGAGAAGACAUCCAGCCUGCGUGUGAAGCGUCUGAGUGACCUCAUCCAUGGCGCCUCAAUUGGACAGCCUAUAUCAAGGACAGCUCACGUGACAGCCGUGUUCACGCUUGAAAGCGGAGAGGAGAAGAGGUUCACUCGUCUGGUACAAGGCUCGUCAUCAGACCAUAAGAUCAAUGGAAAUGUGGUCAGCAGCCAGACCUAUCUCAAGGAAUUGGAAUCUCUAGGCAUCAAUGUGAAGGGCAAGAACUUCCUUGUCUUCCAGGGUGCUGUGGAAUCCAUUGCAAUGAAGAACCCUAAGGAAAGAACAGUGCUGUUUGAAGAGAUUAGUGGAUCUGGAGCAUUGAAAGAGGAGUAUGACCGGCUCAAGACAGAGAUGUUGAAGGCAGAAGAGGAUACACAGUUUACUUACCAGAAAAAGAAGGGCAUUGCAGCCGAACGUAAAGAGGCCAAACAAGAAAAGGAAGAGGCGGAGAGAUACCAGCGUCUAAAGGAUGAACUGGGUGAAAAACAAGUAGAAAUGCAGUUGUUUAGGCUGUAUCACAAUGAAAAGGAGAUCGCAGAAUUUGAUAAAGAAAUUAAGAGAAAGCAAGCAGACCUGGAGAAAGUGGAGAAGAAGAAGGAGAAAGCUGAGGAAAUCUUGAAGGAAAAGAAGAAGGAACACACACGAGUGUCGAGGGAAAUGUCCAAGAUGGAGCAGGAUAUUAGAGAAUUGGAAGCAGAGGUCAACAAGAAGCGUCCAACCUUCAUCAAGGCCAAGGAGAGAGUAACUCACAUGCAGAAGAAAGCCGAUUCUGCUCGCAAAUCUCUCGCACAGGCCAUCAAAGCACACAACGCCCAUAUGGAUGACAUCAGGGAGCUGGAGGGCGAGCUCCAGGAGGUCGAGAAGAAAAGGGGCGAGUUUGAGGAACAGGUCUCACAGGAUUCAGAAAACCAAGGAAAGAGUGUUCAGCUGGAGGAGGUGCAAAUCAAAGAAUACCACAGGUUGAAGAACAUGGCUGCUCGGAAAUCUGCCCAAUACCUUCAAGAGCUUGAUUCAAUCAACCGCGAACAGAAGUCAGACCAGGACAGGCUAGACAAUGCUCAGAGACGAACCUCAGAGAUUGAAAGUCGCCUCAGACAGAAAGGUCACGAGCUGGAGGAGGCACAGAAGCGUGUGGAGAAGUUAAUGGAACAUAUCAGACAAUCUGAAACGUCAUUAGAAGACCAGAAGAGAUUAAGACAGGAGUUGGUAUCAGAUGUAGGUUAUAGCAAGGAACGCAUUACUCAGCUACAAGAACAGCUAGAGAAUGUGACUGAGCAGCUUGGUGAUGCACGUGUUGACAAACAUGAAGAUGGACGCAGAAAGAAGAAACAGGAGAUCGUGGAGAACUUCAAGCAGCUGUACUCUGGGGUGUAUGACAGAAUGAUUAACAUGUGUCAGCCCAUUCACAAAAGGUACAAUGUUGCCAUUACAAAAGUCUUGGGUAAAUACAUGGAGGCCAUUGUUGUGGACACUGAGAAGACAGCCCGUCAGUGUGUCCAGUACCUCAAAGAUCAGAUGUUAGAUCCAGAGACCUUCCUACCCUUGGAUUAUAUUCAGGCAAAGCCCCUCAAAGAGAGAUUGAGAAACAUCAAAGAACCUAGAAAUGUGAAGCUUCUGUACGAUGUGUUGCAGUAUGACCCACCUGAGAUCAAGAGGGCUGUGCUUUUUGCCACAAACAAUGCCCUGGUGUGUGAGACCCCAGAGGAUGCCUCCAAAGUGGCCUAUGACCUGGAGGAUGGUCACAGAUAUGAUGCUGUUGCACUUGAUGGUACCUUCUUCUCCAAGUCUGGUAUCAUUUCUGGAGGUAGUUUGGAUCUUGCCCGUAAGGCCAAGAGAUGGGAUGAAAAGCACCUCUCUAACCUCAAAGCCUCAAAGGAGAAGCUGUCUGAAGAGCUCCGGGAAGCCAUGAAGAAGUCAAGGAAAGAGUCAGAGCUUAACACAGUUGAGUCACAGAUUCGUGGUAUUGAGACAAGGCUCAAAUAUUCUAAGACAGACAAAGACUCAACAGAGAAGCAGAUAGCUGGGCUGCAGAAGGAGCUAGACAAGCUUAAAGCAGAACUUAACACCUUUGAGCCCCAGCUACGGGAUAUUGAGAAGGUCAUGAGUGAGCGGGAAGCCACAAUGAGUGACGUCAAAGAAAAGAUGAACACAGUGGAAGACGUGGUCUUUGCUGACUUCUGUAAGUCCAUUGGAGUCACUAACAUCCGUCAGUAUGAGGAGCGAGAGUUGCAGGCUCAAACAGAUAGGGCAAAUCGCCGCUUAGAGUUUGAAAAGCAGAAGAACAGAAUAUUGAAUCAGCUAGAGUUUGAAAAGUCACGUGACACUCAGAGCAAUGUGGCUCGGUGGGAACGGUCAGUACAGGAUGAUGAGGAUGCUCUAGAACAGGCCAAGCAAGCAGAACAGAAACAGAUGGGUGAGAUAGACAAGAGCAUGAGAGACCUGGAGAAGAAAAGAUCAGAGAAACUGGCCAAGAAGUCGGAGUGCGACGAAAUGGACGAUGAAAUUGGCAAGGCACGGAGGGAAGUGGGCACCAUUGCCAAAGACAUCCAGAGUGUGCAGAAGCAGAUCAAUUCAAUCGAUCACAAAAUGGAACAAAAGAAGGGGGAGAGACAUUCUAUCCUUAAACAAUGCAAGAUGGAUGACAUCUUGGUUCCAAUGACUCGAGGCAACAUGGAAGACAUAGAAAAUGAGGGCCGGGAAGCAGGGGAAUCUACGCUAGAGUACUCUUCAGGCCUCAACACACAGGUGAUGUACGAGAAAGAGUCUAGAAUUGUCUUGGACUACACAUCCCUAAGCGAAACACACAAGGAACUUGAUGACAUUGAUGAUGUGCACAAGGCUGAGAAGCGCAUGCAGAAGCAUAUCAACGACCUCAUGAACACCAUUCAGAGAAUUCAGGCCCCCAAUAUGAAAGCAAUGCAGAAGCUUGACUUGGCGAGAGAGAAACUCCAAGAAACAAAUGAGGAGUUUGACAGUGCACGCAAACGGGCAAAGAAAGCCAAGCAGGCCUUUGAAAGAGUAAAGAAGGAGCGUUAUGACAAAUUCAUGGCAUUCUUUGAGCACGUCUCGAAUGAGAUUGAUGGUAUUUAUAAGGCCUUGGCCAAGAAUGCCUCUGCUCAAGCCUUCCUUGGCCCAGAGAAUCCAGAGGAACCCUACUUAGACGGCAUCAACUACAACUGUGUGGCGCCCGGCAAACGUUUCCAGCCCAUGUCCAACUUGUCUGGUGGAGAGAAGACAAUUGCUGCUCUGGCUCUUCUCUUUGGUAUCCAUAGUUACCAACCUGCUCCGUUCUUCGUGCUUGAUGAGAUUGAUGCAGCCCUGGACAACACCAACAUUGGCAAAGUUGCAUCAUACAUUGUGGACAUGAAGUCACAUCUUCAGACCAUUGUCAUCUCGCUGAAGGAAGAGUUCUACCAGAAUGCGGAUGCUCUUGUUGGAAUUUGUCCAGAUCCGGGCGAGUGUCUGAUCAGCAAAGUACUGACCUUGGACCUAGAAAGAUACCCCUUGCAAAGAAGUGAGGAGCCAGAUCCUUUUGGUGUCAAGGUAUGUGACUUGCUUUACGCACACCGAAAGCUCCCCUGAUGAAGUCUGUGCCAGAAGGAAGUGAGAGUGAGUUCCAACCUCUCGCCCCGCCUGAUCUGGCAGAGGUAGACUGCAAAACUGGUUCCAAAGAAUAUUUUUUUAACCAUUGAAUAUUCAAGCAGAAGGCAAAAGAAAAAAAAAAGUUCUUUUCUUUCUUUAUUCCCUCCUUCCUUCCUUCCUUCCUUCCUUCCUUCCUUCCUUCCAUCUCAAAAAUUGAAUGUAAAGCACAAUUGGUGAUACUGUAUUUCUGUAGAUUGCCCGAUGCCUCACUGGCCAAAAAAAUGUUCUCGCAGACUGCCCAUUCCCACACCUUGAUACGGCUGUAGGUAGAAAGGUGUGGCAAACUGAAAGUUGAUUUGUUUUAUUUUAUUAUUUUUGUAUUUAUUUAUUUUUUUCUUUUUCUUUUUCUUUUUCUUUGAAACUUGUAAACAAAAGAGUUUUAACCACAUGAAAUCCAUUUGAAAUCUUGUGAGUAAAAAGUAUACUACAUGCAUGAGGUGGGAUAUUUUGAUUAUAUCUGUAGAUCCCCCUCUAUAAAGCUCUUUGAAAGUAAGUAACAUCAAGAACUAUCUGUUGACUUUUGUAUAUAAGUAAAAAGUUAAAAUGAACCUAUGGAAGUAGAUAUUUAGUUUUGUAUUUUCAAAUUUUUGGUAUUUGUUUGUCUCUGGAUAAACACAACUUUAUUUUGAGUUUUCCAUCUAUUAGAGAUAAUUUCCAUUGUUGGAUGGUAUGUACCAACUGAUGCUUAAAAAUAGUGCUAUUUGCUAGUGUUUCAGCCCAUUUUUUGAGUCCAUAUAUAUUUAUUUAUGCAUUUACAGUUUUAUUUAUUUAUAGUAAAACAAAAUAUGAUAAAAGAAUGAAUCUAAAAGAUCAAAGAUGGAUAAGAUAUUUAUACAGCUCUGCAUAAGUAUUGCUGGUUUUCCUUUUUAAGAAGUUGGUAUUGGUCUGGUAGUCUGUGCAGAUUGCAGUACAAUCCUCAUUGUUGAUUUCAACACCUGGCGAAUGUUAUAAAAUAUUACUUCCAACUGAUGUUUAUUAUGUAUACCAGUCAGAUGAUAUUGUGGCCACAGCUGAGCAUCAGAAUGUAAGAACAGCAGCAGAAUUGUUUUGUAUAAUUAUUUAUCUCUUAUAAAUGUGUGUAUAUAUGUUUAUAUACAUACACAUUUAGAUAUAUACAUAUUUGUAUAAUUUUAGUUCAAAAGAAAGAAAAAUAAAAUUUAUUAGAUUGUUGGAGCAGAAUGAAAAAUUAAAGUAGUACUCUGGAGAUGAUUAGGUCAGAUUACCAUAGCAGUUUUUAUUUUUAUAAUGUUUAAGUGGAAACAUGUAUAGGAGAAAGAUGCAGAUUUUAUUUUAUUUUCAGUUCCCUUGAGUUUCAGUACAAAGAAACUUCAGCAACAGAAUUUUGUCCUUGUGAGUAAAUAAAAGAAUAUUCUGUA